AGUGAACGCUGGCGGUAGGCCUAACACAUGCAAGUCGAACGGCAGCACAGUAAGAGCUUGCUCUUACGGGUGGCGAGUGGCGGACGGGUGAUGAAUACAUCGGAAUCUACUUUUUCGUGGGGGAUAACGUAGGGACACUUACGCUAAUACCGCAUACGACCUACGGGUGAAAGCAGGGGAUCUUCGGACCUUGCGCGAUUGAAUGAGCCGAUGUCGGAUUAGCUAGUUGGCGGGGUAAAGGCCCACCAAGGCGACGAUCCGUAGCUGGUCUGAGAGGAUGAUCAGCCACACUGGAACUGAGACACGGUCCAGACUCCUACGGGAGGCAGCAGUGGGGAAUAUUGGACAAAGGGCGCAAGCCUGAUCCAGCCAUACCGCGUGGGUGAAGAAGGCCUUCGGGUUGUAAAGCCCUUUUGUUGGGAAAGAAAAGCAGAAGGUUAAUACCCCGCUGUUCUGACGGUACCCAAAGAAUAAGCACCGGCUAACUUCGUG
rnacentral:rRNA from 1 species